rnacentral:rRNA from 1 species
AUUAAACGCUGGCGGCAGGCCACACACGUGCAAGGCGAGCGUAUGAGGGAAGCGUGCUUCCCGAUUUAGCGGCGGACGGGUGAGUAAUGCCUAGGAAUCUGCCUAUUAGUGGGGGACAACAUCGCGAAGGGGAUGCUAAUACCGCAUACGUCCUACGGGAGAAAGCAGGGGAUUUUUAUUACCGUGCGCUAAGCGAUGAGCCAAAGUCGGAUUAGCUAGUUGGUGGGGUAAAGGCCUACCAAGGCGACGAUCUGUAGCGGGUCUGAGAGGAUGAUCCGCCACACUGGGACUGAGACACGGCCCAGACUCCUACGGGAGGCAGCAGUGGGGAAUAUUGGACAAUGGGGGGAACCCUGAUCCAGCCAUGCCGCGUGUGUGAAGAAGGCCUUAUGGUUGUAAAGCACUUUAAGCGAGGAGGAGGCUCUUUUGGUUAAUACCCAGAAUGAGUGGACGUUACUCGCAGAAUAAGCACCGGCUAACUCUGUGCCAGCCGCCGCGGUAACAC